CCUCAGACCUGCUGAGCGCAACUGGCCUGGCCUCGGCUGCAGAUGCCCCCUUUGCAUCACGUGCUUCUGUCUCCUCUCACGGGACACACCGUGAUAGCAGUCCAUCACCCUCCUGCUUCUGCAUGCAGUCACGGGACCUGGGCUGCAGCCUUGGCUUCUCGGGUGAGACGCACUUGCCCCCCCGCCCCCUGCAUGAGUGCAAGGCUGGCUCCUGACGGCCUCCAGAGCAGCUCUCUCCUCCAGCCGGCACCAGUGGAGGAGCCCAAGAUUCUGCUAUUCAAACAGAGCCUCAGAAGUAGCACCGAGUUUCCAAACAGCAGAGCACUUGUGUAAAAAGAGGCAAGAAGAGCAAGGCAAAAGGAGGUAAAUGGAGAUUUCAUGUACAGGAUUUGCGAGCACAGCAGUUUGUACCUGCAGUCUUCCAGACGGUCUCUCCACUGUCCCUGUGUCCUGAACUCCCCUCUACUUCUCGCCUUUGGUGCUGCCACCACCCUGGGUCUGUUCUGGCGAAGAUGCCAUUGCAGCUGUGUGCUCACCCCGGUGCCUGUGGGGCCUGGCAUUCCACUCCUGCCUGCCUGCCUUUGGGUCUGGCUCUCUACAUUCCCAGAGCUGUGACUGCAUGUCAUUCUCACACAGGCCCUGCUGAGGCAAAGGCCGCCAUCUACUGGGAUGCCCCGCAUCCUUGCCCCGGCUUAGUCCUCAGCUGCAGCUCAGUCUUCUGAGCUCUGGAUCCUUGUGUGUAGAGGCUCCUUAGUAAUCACAGAGAAAUUCAUUCUGGCACGUCUGAACCCACACUUCCCCUGUGCACAUUCCCUCCUCAUUGCCCCAUGUGUGUGUCCCCACCCCUGCACUCUAUUCUUGUAUUGCCAUUCAUGAACAGCUUUUCAGUUCACUCUUCAUCUGGACCAACUCAGUCCGUCACUGGGUCUUGCUUUCGUUCCCAUCUGUCUCUCUUCAGUCAGCUGCAGGCAGUUUAAGUCUUCCUAAAACUGAAGUCUGAUCAUAGUAUGGCCCUCUGAACAUGCUGGGGGCGAGUUAGAUUCUUACGGGGGUUCCUGGCCUUCUGUGGCAUACUGGGAGGUACACAGGUUUUAGUCUUUACCAGCCACAGCAGGCUGGUAACUGCGCCUGCGUGUUUCUGCAUCUCCCUCUGUGGGGCUGCAGGGUGAGCUGUAGAUAGUGGAGUGUCUGACACAAGGCUGGUGCUCGAGAAGUGGCCGCUCUCUGAUACGUCUUAUUCUCUGGCCCCACACGUGCCCUCCAUGUUGGAGCAACAGGCUGGCCUGUGGAUGUGGAUGUGGUCAGCCUUGAUCUUGCGGCAGCUGGUACUGCUGUAGGCCCUCCCUGUCUGUCUCCUUAACUCUGCUCAUCAUCCAGUGCUACUCCCUGUGUGUCCAGGUCCUGCAGCCACCACUGGAGCUAAGUCUGCCCUGGCCCCUGCUCCCACUGUGCCUCCAUAACUCCUCUGAGUGCCUCUACACCAGUGGCCAGCAAGAGCAGCACCAUGCUCCUUCUGCGCACUGCCAGCCAGCCUUCGGCACGAGUUGUCUAGAUCACAAGAUACGUACAGCUCUGGGGGCAAAAGUAUGUGCUCGAGCUAGAAUCAUUUUGUGAAGAAAGCCUGCUUGCUCUUAGAGCAGUGCACGCAGCACGGGGCCACACAGCUCCUUCAGAAUGUGAAGUAGCGGGCAAACCACUCCUGGCGCUGGGGAUCUGGAGAAGCUGCGGGGGAAGCUUCACCCUGAGGAGGACUGAAUUCAUAGAGAGAGAUGGUGACCCCGCAUGGAGUGGUUUUGCAAAACAAAGGACAAAGCACAUCAGACAUCAGUGCAGACCACGACAGCGGCUUCCAUGCAGGCUGUGCUGCAGACCGCUGCUCCUGUGCUCAGAAGAGCAAGGGGCCUAGCACUGCCCCAAGGUCAGCGAGGAGCAGCCCGGGCUCAGCAGGACCACCACUCACAGCACGGACUGCCAGACACGAGCAAACCACACCACACCUCCUGGCGCAGCAGCUCUGAAGGAAUCGUGGGAAAUGAGGAGGACGGUCCCUCUCAGCACUUGCCCCCAUGUAGUUAAAAUUGUAGGGUCUGAUACAAGCACUUGCUUCUUACAAAUAUAUCACUAAAUGUAACUAAGUCAAGUUUAGUGUUCUUUACUCUGUGCAUAUGCAUAUUAAGUGUUCAUAAUUCCAUAAGCAGACACUAAGAAAGGGAGUGCACUCAAGUUCCACUUUCCCUUCUAACUUCAGAGUUACACAAUUUAUACUUAAUUCUAACUACAGAGCGUUUGGGCUACUGGAGAAAACAAAAGAAUCCCUACCGUCUCUGGGGCAAUUACAAGGCACCAACAAUGAAAUGGAAACUCCGGUCCUGCUCCUUGGGCUCAUGCACAUGCACCUUACUGAAACCUGAACGCAACCAUGCGCAGGGAAACAAGCAACACAGAAGAUGCGCUCCUCUGUGUCCCCCUGGGACCCACAGUCUCUGACGGGAUCCUACCCAAGCCUGUCUGGCUUCAGAAGUGUGUGUGAGCACCACGGCCUCCAGGAGGUCUGAAGCAGCUGGGAAGACCUCGGGACAUGUCCUGUCUGCAUGUUCAUAUCCUAGUCACUACAGGACAUAAUUACAUGUACUUAAGCUUUUUAUUUUAAGAAAUCAAAAGUAUAAUUGGUAAGCCUCUAUAGUAAUGGCUGAAAAAAUUCCAAUAAAAAAAUAAAAAUUAUUUCUAGC